UACGUAGGGUGCAAGCGUUGUCCGGAAUUAUUGGGCGUAAAGAGCUCGUAGGUGGCCUGUCGCGUCGGCUGUGAAAACUCGGGGCUCAACUCCGAGCUUGCAGUCGAUACGGGCAGGCUAGAGUUCGGCAGGGGAGACUGGAAUUCCUGGUGUAGCGGUGAAAUGCGCAGAUAUCAGGAGGAACACCAAUAUAGCGAAGGCAGUUAACUAUUCUGCUACUGACAUUGAGGCAUGAAAGCGUGGGGAGCAAAACGG
rnacentral:rRNA from 1 species